rnacentral:rRNA from 1 species
GAUGAACGCUAGCUACAGGCUUAACACAUGCAAGUCGAGGGGAAACGGCAUUAAGUGCUUGCACUUUUUGGACGUCGACCGGCGCACGGGUGAGUAACGCGUAUCCAACCUUCCCAUGACUAAGGGAUAACCUGCCGAAAGGCAGACUAAUACCUUAUGGUCUUCACUGACGGCAUCAGAUGUGAAGUAAAGAUUUAUCGGUUAUGGAUGGGGAUGCGUCUGAUUAGCUUGUUGGCGGGGUAACGGCCCACCAAGGCAACGAUCAGUAGGGGUUCUGAGAGGAAGGACCCCCACAUUGGAACUGAGACACGGUCCAAACUCCUACGGGAGGCAGCAGUGAGGAAUAUUGGACAAUGGGCGAAAGCCUGAUCCAGCCAUGCCGCGUGUGUGAAGAAGGUCUUCGGAUUGUAAAGCACUUUAAGUUGGGAGGAAGGGCAGUAAGUUAAUACCUUGCUGUUUUGACGUUACCAACAGAAUAAGCACCGGCUAACUUCGUG